CCACAUCGGUCCUCCUGCGCUUCGCGGCCGCGGGCUUCUCGGCGGCGACGGGUGCCGCGGACGCGGCGCUCCUGCGGCGACUGGACGUCCGCGUACCCGCGGGGACCUCGGGUUCGUCCGACGGCGUCGAAGCCGUCUUCGCCACGGCCUGUCGUCACGAGGUGUGCGCGCGGUGAGAUUCAAACAAACGUCGAGCGAGGGAGGUUGACGGAGCGCGCGCGCGGGGGACGGACGCGCGGGGACGAUCGCGACGGCUCGGGGGAAGGGGACGCACCGUCUCCUCGGAUGACACCGCCGCGGUUCCGGCGGAGUUCCGCGGGGACCGCCUCGGUGCGGGGCUCACCAUCGCGAGGACCCGGUCGCGACUGUCUCGUUGGCCCGUUGUGUGUGAAGAGCCAAACGAGCAACGAGCAGGUGGAAAAGUGCGUUGCUCGCCG
rnacentral:lncRNA from 1 species